UGGUACGGUUCACGGUGGUAUGGUUCGUACAGUUCGUGUGGCUGGUGUGGCUUCCGCUACUUGGAAGAGAGGACCUCGGUCGAGUCGGCCGCGAACAUGAACGAAUCUGCCGUCGGCUGAUCGGGGAGUCCGGCAUGGGAGCUUCGGACGGUCUCCCGUGAACGUCCUUGUUUUCCGGAAACAGCAACACCAGGAAGCACGGACGGGGACAGUGAUGGGCGAUCACAUACCGGUACUUCUAGUCACCGCCAAUGUAGGAUCCAUCUUUGAAGAGCCCCAGACACUUCUGCCGGGAUGGAUUGGUGCAUUCCUUGCGACGGUCAAAAAGAAUCAGCCCAGCUUUUUGGCACUUCAUUGUCAAGAAGUUGGUGGCAAGAACUACGAGAAGACCAUGCCACAUGUGGCCGAUUUCAUCAGGGCACUAGUGUCGAGCGAGGAACUGACAAACUACAUGGCAGUACGGGUGUUCUUAGAUGAGGACUUCUCCUGCAUAGAAAAGUUUACGGCUUUAGGCAACUUGUACUUUGUUCACCAGUCACUCAAGAACCCCCAAAUCUGGGAUUUUCAGGAGUGUCGUUUCCUGCCUGUCACGGGGGUGGAGGUGCACUCUGGAAACAUAGAGAAAGUGUUGUCCAAAGAAAAAGUUAAAUUCCCGCAGGAAUUCUUUCCCGAGUGCAAGUGGUCCAGGAAAGGUUUUAUGAGGACAAGGUGGAGCCUGCAUGGCACUGUAUUUGAUCUAAUCAAUAUCCAUUUGUUUCACGACGAGUCAAACUUCAUAGCAAUGGAAUCUUUUCCUUCUUUGUACACGAGAAACAGACAAGGUGCACUCGACUACACUCUGAACAGGAUACAAAACGACAAGUAUGACAAAGUUCCCUUCUUUAUCUUUGGAGACUUCAAUUUUAGACUCGACACGCAAGCUGUCGUAGAGAAAAUUACUCGAAAGGCUCCUCCGGUCCAGGUGAAGAGUGGCAAGAAUGGGGACGUUACCAAAGUCUUGUUCAGGGACCCCAAAGAUGAGAACCGGGUCGUUCUCACAGUCGAACGCAAAGUGUUUUCUCUGCAAGACCAUGAGGAAGCGUUUUCCAGGAACAAUGGCAAAUGGCUGCAAGAGCAUGAUAGAGAGCCGAGCUUAUUCAAAGACCGCCUGUUUGAGUUUGACAUUGCCUUCCCACCAAGCUACCCGUUCAAGGAAGACUGUUCCGGGGCCCACAGCUACAUGCACACACGGUGCCCGGCUUGGUGCGACCGAAUCCUCCUGAGCAAGGCAGCCAGGGCACUGGUGUACACGGGCACGGACGAAUCUGGGAAGCCCCCCGUGACUUACCAAGUGAUGGGCGCUGAUGUGUGCAUGGGGGACCACAAGCCCGUGGCCCUGUACUUCCGCAUGGCCCCCUCGGCUGCAGGUACGUUCCCAGCCAAAGACAAGGCGAGCGCCGGCGGGACGCAGUCGCCGAGGUUGCUUGGCGGCUGCCCCGCGUGCCACCUCCUCUGACUGCGCAUGACCCAUUGGCUGCAUGAUCAUUACAUUUGCUUUGAGCGUGGUAGUUUGGAGUAUUUUUCUUCGUGUCUAGGUGCAUGACGCCUCUAGUCAACCGCCCAGUCAGAAUAGGUUUGAUGUGCCUCUUUGUGUUGGAGUCGGCCUAGAAUCGAUGCCGGCCUACAUUCGAAUAAAUAUGUGCAAACAAUGGAUCUGGAACAGGUGGCGGAUUGAAGCAAGGCUUGGGGUGCGGCACAAUCGAGGUAGUCACGCGCGCAUUGGCCUCAUGGAUAACAUGGACUCGUCCGAGAAGACCAGCCAGUCGUUGGCCGUCCAUGACGCAUGCCCAACUGGAAAGCUAAGUGCUUCGUUUGAAGCUGCGGGGCAUGGCCAUGGCGCCAUAGGGACUGGCGCUUUUUGUCGUGCGACUGGCUGUCGGAGAUUUCAACGGGCUUCUCGGGCAGAAAGAAAAGAGGUUCUUGGUCGUCGCUCUUGGUGGACACCCCCAGGCACAUCGUGAAUGUGACCUUCAUAUCAAAAAGCUUCAACGAUGCGGUUGACGGUCCCCAGAGGCCUAUUUACAAGAGCCCCGAUGGCCCGCUAGUGGAGCGAGAGACCUGCCGCUGAGGAAGCGGCCACCCGCUACAUUCAGGUCAAGGUGCCUGGCUCUCCCGUUCGCAUCUUCCGAGAAACAACUGUCUGAAG
rnacentral:misc_RNA from 1 species